rnacentral:rRNA from 1 species
GACGAACGCUGGCGGCGUGCUUAACACAUGCAAGUCGAACGGAAAGGCCCUGCUUUUGUGGGGUGCUCGAGUGGCGAACGGGUGAGUAACACGUGAGUAACCUGCCCUUGACGUUGGGAUAACUUCAUGAAACUUGGGCUAAUACCGGAUAGGAGCUCCUGCUGCAUGGUGGGGGUGGGAAAGUUUCGGCGGUUGGGGAUGGACUCGCGGCUUAUCGGCUUGUUGGUGGGGUAGUGGCUUACCAAGGCUUUGACGGGUAGCCGGCCUGAGAGGGUGACCGGCCACAUUGGGACUGAGAUACGGCCCAGCCUCCUCCGGGAGGCAGCAGUGGGGAAUAUUGCACAAUGGGCGGAAGCCUGAUGCAGCAACGCCGCGUGCGGGAUGACGGCCUUCGGGUUGUAAACCGCUUUCGCCUGUGACGAAGCGUGAGUGACGGUAAUGGGUAAAGAAGCACCGGCUAACUCCGUG